rnacentral:rRNA from 1 species
UAGCAUAUCAAUAAGCGGAGGAAAAGAAACCAACAGGGAUUGCCCUAGUAACGGCGAGUGAAGCGGCAACAGCUCAAAUUUGAAAUCUGGCUCUUUCAGAGUCCGAGUUGUAAUUUGCAGAGGGCGCUUUGGCUUUGGCAGCGGUCCAAGUUCCUUGGAACAGGACGUCACAGAGGGUGAGAAUCCCGUACGUGGUCGCUAGCUAUUGCCGUGUAAAGCCCCUUCGACGAGUCGAGUUGUUUGGGAAUGCAGCUCUAAAUGGGAGGUAAAUUUCUUCUAAAGCUAAAUAUUGGCCAGAGACCGAUAGCGCACAAGUAGAGUGAUCGAAAGAUGAAAAGCACUUUGGAAAGAGAGUCAAACAGCACGUGAAAUUGUUGAAAGGGAAGCGCUUGCAGCCAGACUUGCUUGCAGUUGCUCAUCCGGGCUUUUGCCCGGUGCACUCUUCUGCAGGCAGGCCAGCAUCAGUUUGGGCGGUGGGAUAAAGGUCUCUGUCACGUACCUCUCUUCGGGGAGGCCUUAUAGGGGAGACGACAUACCACCAGCCUGGACUGAGGUCCGCGCAUCUGCUAGGAUGCUGGCGUAAUGGCUGUAAGCGGCCCGUCUUGAAACACGGACCAAGGAGUCUAACAUCUAUGCGAGUGUUUGGGUGUCAAGCCCGAGCGCGUAAUGAAAGUGAACGGAGGUGGGAACCCGCAAGGGCGCACCAUCGACCGAUCCUGAAGUUUACGGAAGGAUUUGAGUAAGAGCAUGGCUGUUGGGACCCGAAAGAUGGUGAACUAUGCUUGAAUAGGGUGAAGCCAGAGGAAACUCUGGUGGAGGCUCGCAGCGGUUCUGACGUGCAAAUCGAUCGUCAAAUUUGGGCAUAGGGGCGAAAGACUAAUCGAACUAUCUAGUAGCUGGUUCCUGCGA